rnacentral:rRNA from 1 species
AGAGUUUGAUCAUGGCUCAGGAUGAACGCUAGCUACAGGCUUAACACAUGCAAGUCGAGGGGAAACGACAUCGAAAGCUUGCUUUUGAUGGGCGUCGACCGGCGCACGGGUGAGUAACGCGUAUCCAACCUGCCCAUCACUUGGGGAUAACCUUGCGAAAGUAAGACUAAUACCCAAUGAUAUCUCUAGAAGGCAUCUGAAAGAGAUUAAAGAUUUAUCGGUGAUGGGAUGGGGAUGCGUCUGAUUAGCUUGGUUGGCGGGGUAACGGCCCACCAAAGCAACGAUCGAGUAGGGGUUCUGAGACGGAAGGUCCCCCANAUUGGAACUGAGACACGGUCCAAACGUCCUACGGGAGGCA